rfam:Canis lupus familiaris chromosome 15, whole genome shotgun sequence.
AGGAGGAUCAACCACAGUGGCGGCGGCCAGCUCUGGAGCCCUGGAGUCAGCCCCCGCAGUAACUCCGGAGCUCUCCGUCUGCAGGGCCUGGAUGCUCCGGGGCGGG